GCCUUACACAUGUCAAGUCGAACGGUAGCGCGGGGCAACCUGGCGACGGGUGGCGAACGGGUGAGUAAUGCAUCGGAACGUGCCCUGGAAUGGGGGAUAACGUAGCGAAAGUUACGCUAAUACCGCAUAUUCUGUGAGCAGGAAAGCAGGGGAUCGCAAGACCUUGCGUUCUGGGAGCGGCCGAUGUCGGAUUAGCUAGUUGGUGGGGUAAAGGCCUACCAAGGCGACGAUCCGUAGCGGGUCUGAGAGGAUGAUCCGCCACACUGGGACUGAGACACGGCCCAGACUCCUACGGGAGGCAGCAGUGGGGAAUUUUGGACAAUGGGCGGAAGCCUGAUCCAGCCAUGCCGCGUGAGUGAAGAAGGCCUUCGGGUUGUAAAGCUCUUUCGGUGGGGAAGAAAUUGCACGGGCGAAUACCCUGUGUAGAUGACGGUACCCGACUAAGAAGCACCGGCUAACUACGUGCCA
rnacentral:rRNA from 1 species